rnacentral:pre_miRNA from 1 species
AGCUUUGCAGGGUUGCAGUCAGCCUGUGCCUGUCAGUGCCGCUGUGCAAACCCAUGCAAAACUGA